CGUUUAACAGGGCUUUGAGCACCGCCGCUGCUUCGGUGAGACUUGCACCCCCCUCACCCCACCCCAUAACAAAUCGCAGCAAACAGGACCUAUUUGCAAGGAAUUCAUCACCAUGGCGCUGGGAGGGUCUGGGGGCGGAGGGGAGCGCUAAGGUCUUUUGUUAUCCUUGUCACCUCGUCCAACCCAGGCCUGAGGACAGCCCCGCGGCGGGAGGCGGAGGACAGUGGCCAGCAGCCGGAGGACAGUGGCCAGCAGCCGCUGCUUCUCUGCGGCCCAGAAAGCCUGUGUUUUUGCGCUCAGGUUGCUUUUCUCUGGCUGGAGCUUUACCUAGAGGCUUGCGGGGAGCCGGGGCGCCGCGCCUUUGUUCUGCCGGGGAGCUCCGGCCGCCUGCACUUUCUGCCUCGGACCCGCGGGGCAGUCACGCGGCCCCGGGCAGAUCGAGGCCUUUGGCCGGGCCGCCUGGUCCUGCGCUGCGCUGGGGAGCAGUGGAGAGGAAAGCGGGCCCGUCUGGGGCGGACUUUGGCUUCGGGAGCCCGGGGCCCGCGGAGGGCCUCCCGGAGCGAGAUCUGCACCUUCCCCCGGUACCCGCUGCGUUCAUCGCCUCUGUUUGUUGAGCAGAGGAGCCGGGGUCCCCGGGCCCGAACCCGCGGAGUCUCACCGCCCCUCGCACCCCCACCUCGCCCUCGGGCCGUGGCCACCUACACCUCCGCAAUCGAUUUUUGCUGCGUGUCAAUACUUACUUCUGUUCAGUGGCAGUUGUGGAAGAGAGAAGACCCUAGAAGCUGA
rnacentral:lncRNA from 1 species